rnacentral:rRNA from 1 species
GACGAACGCUGGCGGCGUGCUUAACACAUGCAAGUCGAACGGAAAGGCUCCAGCUUGCUGGAGUACUCGAGUGGCGAACGGGUGAGUAACACGUGGGUAAUCUGCCUGCACUCUGGGAUAAGCCUGGGAAACUGGGUCUAAUACUGGAUAUGACCUUUCUCCUUAUGGGGUUUGGUGGAAAGUUUUUCGGUGUAGGAUGAGCCCGCGGCCUAUCAGCUUGUUGGUGGGGUGAUGGCCUACCAAGGCGACGACGGGUAGCCGGCCUGAGAGGGUGAUCGGCCACAUUGGGACUGAGAUACGGCCCAGACUCCUACGGGAGGCAGCAGUGGGGAAUAUUGCACAAUGGGCGGAAGCCUGAUGCAGCGACGCCGCGUGAGGGAUGACGGCCUUCGGGUUGUAAACCUCUUUCAGCAGGGACGAAGCGUAAGUGACGGUACCUGCAGAAGAAGCACCGGCUAACUAUGUG